rnacentral:rRNA from 13 species
GGGUAGUUUGACUGGGGCGGUCGCCUCCCAAACAGUAACGGAGGCGCGCGAUGGUAGGCUCAGGUUGGUCGGAAAUCAACCCGUGAGUGCAAUGGCAUAAGCCCGCCUGACUGCGAGACUGACAAGUCGAGCAGAGUCGAAAGACGGCCAUAGUGAUCCGGUGGUCCCAAGUGGGAGGGCCAUCGCUCAACGGAUAAAAGGUACGCCGGGGAUAACAGGCUGAUACUGCCCAAGAGUCCAUAUCGACGGCAGUGUUUGGCACCUCGAUGUCGGCUCAUCUCAUCCUGGGGCUGGAGCAGGUCCCAAGGGUACGGCUGUUCGCCGUUUAAAGAGGUACGUGAGCUGGGUUUAGAACGUCGUGAGACAGUUCGGUCCCUAUCUUCCGUGGGUGUAGGAUACUUGAGAGGAGUUGCCCCUAGUACGAGAGGACCGG